rnacentral:rRNA from 1 species
UCAGGAUGAACGCUGGCGGCAGGCCUAAUACAUGCAAGUCGAACGGGAUCUGAAGUAGCAAUACUUUGGUGAGAGUGGCGCACGGGUGCGUAACACGUAUGCAACCUACCUUUAACCGGGACACAACCCUCCGAAAGGGGGGCUAAUAUUCCAUGUGAUUAUUUUGUGGCAUCAUAAGAUAAUUAAAGAUUCAUUGGUUAAAGAUGGGCAUGCGUCCCAUUAGCCAGUUGGUGAGGUAACGGCCCACCAAGGCUAUGAUGGGUAGGGGUUCUGAGAGGAUAUACCCCCACACUGGUACUGAGACACGGACCAGACUCCUACGGGAGGCAGCAGUAAGGAAUAUUGGUCAAUGGGCGGAAGCCUGAACCAGCCAUGCCGCGUGCAGGAAGACGGCCCUAUGGGUUGUAAACUGCUUUUGUCAGGGGAUAAACCUAUCUACGUGUAGAUAGCUGAAGGUACCUGAAGAAUAAGGAUCGGC